UACGGAGGGGCUAGCGUUGUUCGGAAUUACUGGGCGUAAAGCGCACGUAGGCGGCUUUGCAAGUUAGAGGUGAAAGCCCGGGGCUCAACUCCGGAAUUGCCUUUAAAACUGCAUCGCUAGAAUUGUGGAGAGGUAAGUGGAAUUCCGAGUGUAGAGGUGAAAUUCGUAGAUAUUGGGAAGAACACCGGUGGCGAAGGCGGCGACCUGGUCCUUUACUGACGCUGAGGCGCGAAAGCGUGGGGAGCAAACAGG
rnacentral:rRNA from 1 species